AUAAAAUUCGGGGGCAAAAUCUGAAAAUAAAUAAAAGAGGACUUUUUUGAAUGCGCGGAUAACAUGGAGGGGCUGGAAGGGAAUUUUCCCUUCUCCUCCAAAACGACAUCGUUCCAGCAAGGACCAAUUUGAAAAUAUAAAUAAAUGAUAGAGAAAAAUUAGAAAAAAGAAAGACUUGAUUGUAAAUAAUAAAAAAGGCGGAAGGACCAGUGUUGUAAAUAACUCAUUAAUUGAAAACACGCGGAUCCCCCAGGAGUGGGUCGGGUCACGCGCGGGUCGCGUCUAAACGACGCCGUUUAGGGUCAGGGGGCAAGCGUGCAAAACGGCAGCGUUUUGCUGAGGCUAUUUAAGUUAAAAAAAAUUUUAGAAAAAUCAUUUCAGCCCAUUUUUUAAAAAAAAAUUUCAAAAACUUCUCAAACUCUCUCCCUCUCCCCUGAAUCCGACCAUGGGCGCCGCCGUCCGUCCAUCGCACUGGCGCCAUGACCGGUAGCCGGCGACGAACCAAAUGGGUUUUUAAGCCCUGUUUUCAACGAUUUGAAGGCCAAGCCUUCUCAACCAAGAAGAAAACCGAAAGAAAAGACCCUCACCCCCCUUUUAAGGCUGAUUUCGGCAACGGAGAGAGGACCUCCGACGACGUGGCCGUGGGACAUCUCAGGUGAUUGACGGGCGCAAGUGGCAGAGGCAGUGAAGUGACCGUAGCAGUGGCGGCAGGUCAAGGGUCAGAAGACCCUAGGUGCGGUGCACCUAGGGUUAGGGUUUCCAGACCCUUUUUCUUGCUUUGGGCCAUUUGGGCAGUGGGAAAUUGGGUUGGGUUGUAUUUGGGUCCGUUUGGGUUAGGGGUAGAUUUGGGCUUAUUGGGCUGUUUUUGCUUUCUGAUUUGGGUUGUAUUGGGUUACUCGGGUUUGGGCAGGUUUUAGGCCCCGGGCAAAUUUGGGCUUGUACAUAAUGAUUUUAGGAUCUUUAGAAUAAUAUGGUUUUGUAAACAUAAAAAAUAAUUGAUGCAGAUUUGGAGUUAGUCAUUAAA